rnacentral:misc_RNA from 1 species
UUCACUCUGAGUCAUUCUGGAGAUGGAAGGUGCCUUUUAUAGCUGCUGAGAUGCAGGCUGAUAAGCAGACCUGUCUCAUACAACGAGGACCGCUUCGCUAGCCAUGUCCGUUGAGUUGUUUGGGCAAUGACGCGUUUACCGCAUGAGCCCUUUUCGGUCAAGAGACUCUCGCUAUGACGCAUUGAAAAAGAUGUAUGAGCCUGAGAAUGUGCGACAGCUUCUGAUUGGGCGUUUGAGCUGAGAUUUGGUUCUCGGCGAGUUCAACACAGAGGCGAGUACGACCGCCUGCGCCAAGUGUCAGUAAGUCCGUGACUGUGCGUCCGGUUGACCGCCAUGAGCUGAAAAUGCCAUGAGCCAAGAGCGAGUUUGGCCAGCUGAAAUGCCUGAGCCUGCUCCGUGCCUUGUGAGUUCUUGAGGACCGCAUGUGCAGCCGCCAGAGCAAAGAGCCAGUCAGUGAAACAUCUGCAGAGCCACCGACGGAGAUGCUCGAGGGUGAAAUUCCUUUUGAGAGACUCCUUUCUCACAGGUGAAAUUCCUGUUUACUCACAGGGUGAAACUCCUUUGUGAAGUCUCAUAGGGUGAAAUUCCUGUAUGAGAAGCCGCCUAGAAUCUGAAGAGCCAAGCUGAAAUGCCAGAGCUGCCAGUUGCCGAGAAGCUGAGAAGCUGAGACGCAUUCUAGAGCAAAGAUCUGCUUUGACAGACGCCAUUCAUGGUCAGAAGAGCAAGCCAGAGCCAGAGCCAGUAAGUCCCUUGAGGCAAUAAGUGCCAAAUAUAGAGCCACAGACGAGAGCAAAGAGCCAGUAAGUCCACAGUGCAAUGAGUGCCAAACGCCCGUUAUACGCCAAUAAGUCCGAAGCGCAAUAAGAGCAUUUACCUGCGCCAUAGAGCCAGAGUAUAUCCAAAGAGCUACGUGUGUCAUAAGUCCAAAUACCAAGGGCAACACAGGUCAGAGCCAGUGCUGAAAUGCCAGAGCCAGAACCAAUGCCACGAACAAAGAGCCGGUAAGUCCUAUGAUAUGAGGCAAUAAGUGCCAAACGCCUUGAGAGCAACGUCAAUGCCACUAAGUCCUUCAAGGCGAUAAGCGCAUGGUCGCCAUUCGAGCCACUAAGUCCAGAGAGCGAUAAGAGCCAUUUCGCCUGAGCAAGAGCCAGUGAGUCCACAGAUGCAAUAAGCGCCAAACGCCAGAGCACAGACAGAGCCGAAGAAGCCAGGGCCAUAGAGCCGAGGCCAGCCAGUUGCCAAUAAGUCCAAAGAGCAGUGAGAGCCAGAGCAGAGCCAACGUCACACACUAUUCAAGGAGUAGGCGGUGAACCUCUUAGCCAGAGGACGUAACUGACCGAACCUGUUUAUCUAGUUUUGAGAGGAGUAGGUGAAAAUCCGAACCUCUUGGGUUAAUAAAUCAUGGACCAAAGAGUCCCGCCCGAAAUUUGAAUCGUAGCGAGUUGUAUUUGUAGACUUUUUCCUUCAUUAGUUUUUUAACAAUAACAUUGAGUAUUAAUU